GCGGGGGUGGCGGAACGGCAGACGCGCCAGACUUAGGAUCUGGUGUCCUUGUGGCGUAGGGGUUCAAGUCCCCUCCUCCGCACCA
rnacentral:tRNA from 2 species